UCCGGUGACUUUAUCUGGAAGGUCACACCUGUUCCCAUCCCGAACACAGAAGUUAAGCUUCCAGAGCCGAUGAUAGUGCCCACCAGUGCGAAAGUAGGUCUCGCCGGAU
rnacentral:rRNA from 2 species